GACGAACGCUGGCGGCGUGCUUAACACAUGCAAGUCGAACGAAGUGGCGAACGGGUGAGUAACGCGUAAUCAACCUGCCCUUCCGAGGGGGACAACAGUUGGAAACGACUGCUAUUACCGCAUACUGAAGGAGGGGAUUGCGUGUGAUUAGCUCGUUGGAGGGGUAACGGCCCACCAAGGCGAUGAUCAGUAACCGGUCUUGGGGGAUGAACGGCCACAGUGGGACUGGAACACGGCCCAGACUCCUACGGGAAGGAGCAGUGGGGAAUCUUCCGAAAUGGAGGAAAGUCAGGCGGAGGAACGCCGCGUGAGUGAUGACGGCCUUCGGGGUGGAAAGCUCUGUUAAUCGGGACGCGGUACCGGAAUAGAAAGCCACGGCUAACUACGUGCCAGCAGCCGCGGUAAUUC
rnacentral:rRNA from 1 species